CAUUUUUUGAGAUCCCUUUAGUCAUCAAUCUCUAGGUGUAAAUAGUGUAUAAUAACACCUUUUGGCAGAUUAUUCAUGUCUGUGACAAUUAUUUCCAAACUCAUUGGUUUUUACGCUCUAUAGCAGAGCUUUUGAUAUGAAAGUUUGGUAGUUUAUACAAGGUGCGGAGACAACAGUAUUAACAGACACAAUCUCAAAGCAAGAAGAAAAGAAGUGCAGAAAUUGAUACUUUAAGGAAAUACGAUUUCAGCAGAAGUUGUUCUCCAUGAAUUUCACAAAUCCAUAGAAAUCGAUUCUUCCGUCUUUACUUCCACAUCUUCUCUGCAAAGACCAUCAUCAUCAUCAUCACGAUAUUCUUCGUGUUUGAUCGAAGUUUGGAACUCAAGAUCUUUGCUCUUCUUCUCGGAAACACAUUGCUGGUGUUGAACAAGAGGCCAGAACCUAGAGAAAAAUAACUGAGCAAAAGAAACCCAUCUGAAAAAACCGAUGAGGAAGAAGUUGAUCAGACCAAACAAAGGGAAAGACAAAGAAGAAGACUGUUUGCAUUUAGACAAUGAACUCUUCAUGGUUAUAAAGCUAUAUAAUUGGUUUUCAGUCAUAACUUUUGUUAGAAGUCUAUUUGAAAAGUAAAACUAGGCAAAAUAAUGAAUCACAAGGAAAAGAAUGUUUUGGAG